GACGAACGCUGGCGGCGUGCUUAACACAUGCAAGUCGAACGGCAAGGCCCUGCUUUCGUGCUGUGACCGAGUGCCGAACGCGUGCGUAACACGUGAGUAACCUGCCCUUGACUUUGGGAUAACUUCAGGAAGCUAGGGCUACUCCCAGAUCGCAGCCCCUGCUGCAUGGUAGGGGUUGGAACGUUUCGGCGGUUGGGGAUGGAUUCGCGGCUUAUCAGCUUGUUGGUGGGGUAGUGGCUUUCCAACGGUUUGACCGAUAGCCGGCCUGUGAGGGUGACCGGCGACAAUGGGACUAAGAUACGGCCCAGACGCCAACGGGAGGCAACAGUCGGGAAUAUUGCACAAUGAGCGGAAGCCUGAUGCGGAAACGUCGCGGUCGGAAAGACGGUUUGCGGGUUGAAAACCGCUGCCGCCUGUUACGAAGCGGGAGUGACGGUAAUGAGUGAAGAAGCACCGGCUAACUACGUG
rnacentral:rRNA from 1 species